rnacentral:tRNA from 2 species
GGGGGCGUGGCGGAAUGGUAGACGCUACGGACUUAAAAUCCGUUGACCGCAAGGUCGUAAGAGUUCAAGUCUCUUCGCCCCCA